rnacentral:lncRNA from 1 species
GUACCUUGAUAACUCAGUCAAAUAUAUAAAUAUAUAUUAUUCAUUUAUUACAUGAUCGAAGUAUAUAUAUACAUUAAUUUCACCAACGUAAUUAAGCUAGCUAGCUCACCCCAUAGAUGUAACAUUCCGCACGUAGACUCUGAUCAUGUCUUCUUGUGGGACUAAAGUUAAACAAAAUGGAUGAAAGCUAACUAGUUCCUCGUAGGAGAAAUAGAGAAUUCUUAUUUAUAGAAAAUAUAAAAGAUUCCUCAAGAAAGAUGCAUGAGAAUCAUCAAAGUAAAAAUGUCAUAUCCUGUAACGGAAUUUAUUAUUUCAUUAAUAAACAAAGGCGGAAUAACGUGAAAAGAGAUUAAGACGGAGGUGGUACGUGGAAUAUUGUGGCUAUCAUCAACUUAGGGUAAUGCAAUAAUACGUGGUGAAGGUGGAGGUGGAGAUCGAGGAGGAGGCGGAGGUGGAGAUCGAGGAGGAGGCGGAGGUGGUGGAGGUGGAGGUGGAGGAGGUGGAGGUGGUGGAGGCGGAGGUGGGGGAGGUGGAGGUGGAGGUGGAGGAGGAGGAGGAGGCGGAGGCGGAGGCGGAGGUGGAGGANNN